rnacentral:piRNA from 1 species
GGAUAUUUUGACAUACGUGGUUUGGA